rnacentral:lncRNA from 1 species
CAGUAGCAGUUUGCUCCAGAAACCAAGGACACAUGGACCUGUGUGUGUUGAAAAGCUGACUCCAAGCUGGGCAUGGUGGUGCAUGCCUGUAAUUCCAUGGAGCUGAAGCAUGAGAAUUGCAAGUUCGAGACCAGCCUGGGCAACUUAGCAGUUUAGUGGUGGUGGCCCCCGUCUGGACAUGGCAGCUGGUCCCCACUGUCACCUGAAGAAGGCGCUCCCUUCUCUCCUGAACAGCUGCCCUCCAUACAGCUCUCAGGAUCAGGAUGUCAUGAAUCUUGAAAGAUUACCUGAAAAGGCCAAUGGGAAGCAGCACCAUGAUAGCCAUCUUCAUAUCCAUGAAGACCAAGAGAAGGCCACCCAGGAGAUCCAGUUGGAGCAGCUUUGUUUCCCAGCUACUACCAGACCCCAGGCUGGCCGCUUUCAGCGCCCCGGUUUGAAGUCUGCGCGGCGAGAGUUGCCAGCUUCCCCGCUCCACGCCUCGCCCCGGACGGGCCGCAUGUGGUUACCUCCACGGUCCCGCGUCUAUCUGAUUAUAGGGUUGCAAAAUGAGUUGACCAAAUGUGGGAUCUUGAAGAACAUGAGUGACUGUGAAGAUUUUUGGAAGUUGAUUCGGGAGGAAACUCAUGGAACAGAAAUCAAAGAACAGCUCCAGAAGAUAAAAAUUAAAAUGUUGGAUCCCAGAUACUGGCCUCUGGUGGCUCCUAGAAGAAGGGAAACAAGGUCAUUGGUCAGCGCUGAUCAGGACAACAGGCCCUGCCAGGGGAAAUGGAUCCGGACAUCCUCUCUGGAACCAGUACCCUGUCUGUCUCAAACACAAGAAGAAUUCCAGCAGCCACCUCCCAGGGACUUUCUUUCUCAACUUAUGGAGUGGAGGGAGAGGUGCCAACAGCGAGAGACUGCAGGAAAACUACCCGGAGGACAGGGGGAGAACAAGAUUAUUUGUAAAAUGAACAAGAAGGAUUCCCGAAGUAAGAUAUAUCUUAGAUGCUUGCAUCAGAUGUAUUCUACCUCCCUUGCUAACAUGGAAUUCUCCAGAAGGCUGCUGGAGAAGGACGGCCGCUUCGCAGAUGUGCAUGCCGUGGGCAGAGCUGGAGGUCUGGUGGGUUACAUGGUCCCAGAUGGACACAGAGAGCAGAAAGAAGUCACACCCAAGGAGACAGAGACACGAGACCCACUGCCUGGCAGUCAGCGGCCUCGGGCACAGCUUGCCCUCACCUUCUUGAAAUGCUGGAGCUCAGGACAUGCAUGGAGAGAUUCCCACCCCAAAACAGGAGGACACCAAGUGGCCCUGCAUGGCAUGCUUAAACUUCCCAAGCACUUGAGUGAACCUGAUCCUCCCAGGAUGACUGCAGUACCUGACACCCCCACACCCCUGACCUUGGAGCACAUGAGCCUGACCCAUCGUGUUGUGGAGGCUAAGACAAGAAGCCAAUAUUGGAUUAACUAUGUGGAUGAAGAAUGA